AAAGAUAAGUGAAUUAUCAAAGCUGUUGCUCUACCCGAUCUCAAAAUCCAUUACAUUGCUGGCCGUCUAAUUAAAUACUUGUCCACAUACUUGACUUGGAUUCAGAUUCUUACACAUCCAGAGCUUCAGGUAAAAGCCGAAUGAAAAUAGACUCAUGUCUGAACAAUGAAAAACUAAAGCGAUUGGUAUGAGAAGGAGAAAAAAAGAAUUGAAAGAUCUGAGGAUGACUGCUGGGGUCUGUGCUGAGGACAA